CUUGCUUCGGGCAAUUUUCAAGGUGCUGCAUGGUUGUCGUCAGCUCGUGCCGUGAGGUGUUAGGUUAAGUCCUGCAACGAGCGCAACCCCUGUCACUAGUUGCUAGCAUUAAGUUGAGGACUCUAGUGAGACUGCCUACGCAAGUAGAGAGGAAGGUGGGGAUGACGUCAAAUCAUCACGGCCCUUACGCCUUGGGCCACACACGUAAUACAAUGGCCGGUACAGAGGGCAGCUACACAGCGAUGUGAUGCAAAUCUCGAAAGCCGGUCUCAGUUCGGAUUGGAGUCUGCAACUCGACUCUAUGAAGCUGGAAUCGCUAGUAAUCGCGCAUCAGCCAUGGCGCGGUGAAUACGUUCCCGGGCCUUGUACACACCGCCCGUCAAGCCAUGGAAGUCUGGGGUACCUGAAGUCGGUGACCGUAAAAGGAGCUGCCUAGGGUAAAACAGGUAACUAGGGCUAAGUCGUAACAA
rnacentral:rRNA from 1 species